AGAGUUUGAUCCUGGCUCAGGAUGAACGCUAGCGGCAGGCCUAAUACAUGCAAGUCGAACGGUGAUAGCAAUAUCAUAGUGGCGCACGGGUGCGUAACACGUAUGCAACCUACCUAUUAUUGGGGGAUAGCCUUUGGAAACGGAGAUUAAUACCGCAUAAUACGAUUGACUGGCAUCGGUUGAUUGUUAAAGCUUUGGCGAUAAUAGAUGGGCAUGCGUCCAAUUAGUUAGUUGGUUAGGUAACGGCUGACCAAGACGAUGAUUGGUAGGGGAUCUGAGAGGAUAAUCCCCCACACUGGCACUGAGAUACGGGCCAGACUCCUACGGGAGGCAGCAGUAGGGAAUAUUGGGCAAUGGGCGGAAGCCUGACCCAGCCAUGCCGCGUGCAGGAAGAAGGCGUUAUGCGUUGUAAACUGCUUUUUUAUAGGAAGAAGAAUCCCUUGCGAGGGAAGGUGACGGUACUAUAAGAAUAAGCACCGGCUAACUCCGUGCCAGCAGCCGCGGUAAUACGGAGGGUGCAAGCGUUGUCCGGAUUUAUUGGGUUUAAAGGGUGCGUAGGCGGUUUAUUAAGUCAGUGGUGAAAGACGGUCGCUCAACGAUUGCAGUGCCAUUGAUACUGGUAG
rnacentral:rRNA from 1 species